AAGAGGUUCCAAGGCUGGGAGACAGCAUAAGGGCUGUGAGCAGAUAAGGUGGGAAGGUCCACUGAGGAGGCUGAAGGAAGACAAAAGACUGGGGAAGAAGGUCAGAGAUCAGUAGACACUUGGAGGAUGGGUGAGUGCAGGAGGACAGGUGAACUGUAGAAUAGAAGGUUUGGAGAGACAAGAAAAGCACAGCAUUGUGGAAUGAGGUAGCUCACCUGACACACCUGCUUCCUAGCCAAGCUGGGAAACCAAAAAGGCAUUGGUCUUCUGGGUGAUGGCUCACCCUGUCUCUGAACAUUUCAAAUUGGAUCCUAGAGGUGCCACUGUUGCUGUAGUAGCCCAGGUAGCAGCUGAGUGAAGAGCCUGCCUAGAAGGAGAGGGGCCUUUCUGGUGAGCCCAGAGGGGUGAGGUGGCUCAGGUCUCCUGGUCCCUCCACAGAAAAGUCUUGGACACUGAUAUCUCCCAGGACUGGAGUCAAGGUGUUGAAUGCAAGUUGAACCUCAAGAGUAAGGGGAAAUGGAACCAGUGUCUGCAGGCCACUGUGUGCAGCCAAGUCCUCUCUGCAGUAGUAAGUGGUAAAGCCCUCAGUGCCUUUUGUCUGCUGAAGACUGCUGCUAAGACGAACCACCCACCAGGUGCUGGAACUGGAUGCUGUAUAAGCGGAAGACAUGACUUCUCCCCACACUGAUGAAGAGGAGGCCAAAGGCCCACAAAAGGGUCUUAGGAAGACUCCAAGACGUCUCUCCAGAAGGACAGAUCCAAGGUGACCAAACAAAAUGGAGCCUGCGGGUGAGUGUGGAGGCUAUAGGAGGUUACAGAGCACUACAGUAUACUGAAGAGGGCCGGGGGAUGGUGAGGGUGCUGGGGGCUGGGGAGGUCACUGGAGAAGGGCACAAGAGAGGACAUGUGAAGAAGAGGGGAGAAGGAACACACAAAAGGGGAUAGUGGUGAGCAGGGUAAAGGCUAAGGGUUGGGGAAGAGAGCAGGGAGCUCAGGGACGCUGGAGGGGUGAGCAGUACAGGUAGCUUAGCAGAGUUAGAAGGAUGGGGACAGACAGAAGAUGGACCUGAGGACAUGGUGUUGGAGGUGACAGAAUACUAGUGAGAAGAGACAACAGGAGAUGUCAGGAGACUCAGCAGGAGGUCCUUUGUAAGGAAAAUAGGAGAGUACCAGACUAGAGAAGACCAGGGAAGAGGUGAACUGUCUUAUGUGUUGGACUAGUGAGCUCUGGAAAUGGAGGAGUCUGGGGGAAAGCAGGCUUAAGGGGAUGUCUUAACGGCUGUGGAGGGACACCAAGUCUGGAUAGGACAUUAAGGAGGCUCAGGGUGAGGGUAUCAAGUUCCAGGCGGUCCCCAGAGACAGAACUGGGUGUGGAGAGUGUCACCAGGGAUGGAGUCUGAGAAUGGGGUCAGCAGCUCUUGAGAGUGUGAGGCUCUGGGACUACAGAAGGGUAAUGGGGUUAGAGUCUUAAAAGAGAAGAGGAGGAGCAUAAGAGAACAAGCCUGGAGAGGAGGUCAGUAGGAGCAUGGAGAGGAGAGCAGGGCACACAGUGGGGUUGCUGGAAACUAAGAGGGAGUGCAGGAGGUGAGCUCAUGCCAUGGGUAGAGGCCAGAGGUAGGAAAAAGAUGGUCAAUGUCUAGAAGAUUGGAAGUGCCAGCCCUGUGGAUAGGGGUAGGAGUCUUCUGCAGCUGACAGGUUUGAUAGGAGGAAAGUGUAUUCCCAGGCAGAGCGGGACACGGAGGACCAGAAGCUGUCCCAGGGUUCCUAAGACUCUGAGUACCAGACCAGGAGGGUCCAGUUGAAACUUAGAAAAUGGAGAACAGAAAGUAGUUUGUCAGAAGGGUAUAGGAUAGUGUAAGUGACUGGAUAAAGGCUAAUGCCUGUGCUGAGAUGUCAGGAACUUGGGGAGAGGGGGCAAUGGCUGGGGAUGAAUGCAGAAGUCUCAGGAAGUGUGGAUCAGAGAUUGAGGUAAGGGAGAGAUCUAAGUGUCAUGGCCAUGUAGGGAGACUGGAAAGAGCUGGAGAAGUCUGGGAGGAUGGGGAGACUUCAUAAGAGGGCAGGAGGCUCAGGGUAUGUCAAGGCGGACAAUGGAAGAUAGGAUUUUGAGAGGGAGGGUAAUAGGCUAGGAGGAUGAAAGAAUGGCCAGGUCAAGUUUAUAUGUCAGGUAUAGAGAUCAAGUGUCUGGGACUUUAGGAGUCUGUGUGGAAGCACAGGACUUUGACAUGAGUGCAGAAGUGUGGGGGGAAUUCAGAGACUGCUCUGAGCACAGUACUCCUGGGGUGGGGGGUGUUACACACCAGAAGCAAAAAGACUGGCUUGUAAGGCAGCAGGCACAUAGAGACAUGAGAAAGCUGGAGGGGCUUAGCAGGUCAGGGAGAAGGACCAGGACCAGGAGAAAGCAGGAAUCUAUGGUGAGUAUAGGAGACUAAGGGAGGAGAAGAAACUUGAAGUGGAAGGCUGCAUACUUGGGUUCGAAGCAGGGGGAUAGUGACACAGCACGGAGGAAGAUCAAUAGGAUUGGAACAGAUAACAGGGGAGUUCACAUAUUGUCUGAGGAGGUUAGGAGUCUAAGAGGAAAGCAGGGUGGAGUCUAGAUCAGGAACCAGGAAGGGUAGUGACUAGCCUAGGUUGGGUGAGAAGAAUAAAGAUGAAAGAUGAAUAUGAAUAUGAAUGAAGAAGAGUCAAACUUGGGAUGGACAGGAAGACUAGAAAGAGGCCAGCUUGCUCUCUAAGACGGGAAGUGGAUAUAUAUAUAUAUAUAUAUAUAUAUAUAUAUAUAUAUAUAUAUAUAUAUAUCACUAGAAGGGACAGAGAGUGUGGACCAGAGGAUGUGCAGGUGAUCAGGAGUCACUGUGAGACAAGGAGAGUAAGGAUGUGGGUAGGAGGAUGAAGAGUAUGAUAGGAGGCCUGGCUUUGCCUGUAGGUCUGGGUGAUCGGGGUGAACAGGGAAAAAGAAGAUAAGUAUCCAUGAAGGCAGAGGCUCAUAGAAAACUGGGAUCCUGCUGUACAAAAUGGAGCUGAACAUCAGGACUACAGUAGGAUGGUCUGGGACUGGACAUGUGUCUCAGCACUUAGGUCAAUGGCUUGCUGUUCCACAGGCCAGGUUUUUGAUGGUGAACUCCCACAUGGAGUGCACAAAGGUCUGCAACUCCAUGCCCAGGGCCUCUGAGGCACCCUUCUGCCCUGUCCUGAGAUUAGGCAUGCAGGUUUUGCUUAGGACCUACACAGCCAUUCUCAGAAAAUUCUUAAUGAUUCUUAAGAGAGGGAUUUUUUUUCUAAUUGGGAAGGCUUUAGCUUAUACCUAUGAUGGUAGGACUACAGUACUGGAAGGAGUUUCUGAUGAUUCUAAAUUUGGCUUAAAAGAGAAUUUGGGGGGAAAUUAGGAGUUAGGGUAGAAGGAAGGGAGUAAGGGACAGGUUACAGUGCUAUGGCAGGGUAAGCGGGGGUGCUUAUAGAGGAAUCUGUCAGGGUCAGAGCAUGAACUGGUGACUAGGUGUGGUUGGGCAAAGAACUCUAGUGUUGAGAUCAAGUUGCCUAUUAGGUCAAGAAACAAUGGAGGAAGGCAGGCUUGGUGGUGCAUGUGUUUAAUCACAACACAUGGAAGACAGAGGUAGGCUGAGGAGUUCUGGGUCAGCCUGGUUUACAGGUCAAGUUUUAGUACAGCCAGAGCUACAAAGAGAAUCCCUGUCUCAGUAAAAAGAAGAAAAAAAAGGAAAGAAGCCAAAGGAAGGAGCAAUAAGGGAGGAGGAAGAUAGAAGGGGAGGAAUAGGAAGGAAAGGGAAGAAGGGGAGGAGAAAGGAGAGAGGAGGGAAGAAGGGGGAGAAAAGAUGAGGGAGGAGGAAAAAGAAGAAAGAAGGAAAGAAGAAAGAAGAGAAAGGAGAGAAGAGGGGAGGGGAUGGAUGAGAGAGAAGAGGGAAGAGGAUGGAAGAUAGAAGAGGAGCAAGGAAGGAAGUGAAAGGAAGAGGGGGAAGCAGGAAGGACAGCAAAGAAAAUUAGAAGGAGGCAGAAGAAAGAAGGAAAAGGAGAGGAGGGAUGAAGAAGGAGAAGGUGCAAAAGAGGAUAGAUGAGAGGAAAGGGAAGAAGAAUGAGAAAGGAGGAUGAAGAAAAAGUGGGGAGCUGGAAAGAUAAAGGAGGAACAGGAAGGAGUACAGAAGAGAAAGGAUGAGGAAGAAAAGGCAAAAGAGAGGAGGGAAGAGAAAAUACAGGAAAGAAGUGGGAGAAGUGAAAAUGAGUUUGAGAAGAAAAGAGGGAACAGUAAAGAAGAGAGAAUGAAAAAGAUCAAGUGAAGAGAUGAAAAAAGAGGGAAUAAGGAAAAUGAAUAGAGAGUGAGAAAGGAAGA